rnacentral:snoRNA from 1 species
CGCAAGCUCCUUAGAUCCAUUUCUGCAAUUACGAAAGAAAUGCUUGAGUCAUAAGCUUGCAAGAGCAUCUAGUCCCGAGCUAAACCUUGCAUUACGCGAUCUGUUGCCGCACGGAAAUUCU